rnacentral:rRNA from 1 species
GAUGAACGCUGACAGAAUGCUUAACACAUGCAAGUCGAUGGGGAAGUGGUGCUUGCACCAUGGCAACCAUGGCGGACGGGUGAGUAACGCGUAAGGGACUUACCUGCAGGACUGGGAUAACAGGGGGAAACUCCUGACAAGACCGGAUAAUGUCAUGGAGCUGCAUGGCUUUAUGAUGAAAGGAGACGCCUGCGGAGAGGCUUGCGUCCUAUUAGCUAGUUGGUGAGGUAAUGGCUCACCAAGGCGAAGAUAGGUAGCCGGCCUGAGAGGGUGGACGGCCACAAGGGGACUGAGAUACGGCCCUUACUCCUACGGGAGGCAGCAGUGGGGAAUAUUGGACAAUGGGGGCAACCCUGAUCCAGCAAUUCUGUGUGCACGAAGAAGGUUGUCGGAUUGUAAAGGGCUUUCAGCAGGGAAGAAGUAAGUGACGGUACCUGCAGAAGAGGCGACGGCUAAAUACGUG